rnacentral:lncRNA from 1 species
UGUUCUUUAGUCUGCAUUACCAAAGGCUUGAAAAGCCAGAAGACUUUAAUCUCUUUAAGAAAAGACAGUUGUGUACUUUGCAGAACUGAAUUUGUUGCCUUGCCAUUUCUUGUAGGUCAUAAUUGUUUUAGGAGUUGAACUCGGUGAUCAUUAUGGGUCCCUUCCAACUCAGGACAGUCAAUGAUUCUAGGAACAAGCUGCAUUCAGCCUGAAGUUAAACACGCAUACAUCCAGCACACAUUACAUCUAGAAUAUCACUUAGGGGAAGAAAUGACCAUGACAGAAGAAGGUUCAAGUGCAUAAGAGACAAAAUACUGCUAAGCAUCAAGCAGGUGUAAGCUUCAAUAUUUAGGAGAGCAUGGAAGGGAAGAGAUCCCUAUGGAGCUGCAGCUUACAGAACAAACAGGUUGUGGUCUCUAGUAAGAUAAAAGUUGCCUCUCCCUGUUAGCAAAAUCCUUCUUCUUUUUACUGAUUCCUAAGGGAAGGGGCAGAAAUAGGGCAGACUCUUGCUGAGACAGUACACUUUCCAGGAAGGUUUCCUUGUUCCUCUCCCCGCACUACAGGCGUGCACACAUGAAACUACUGGAAAUCUCACCUUUAACUAGGAGGAAUAGUUAGUACUGCAAACCAAAGGAAAAAGGCCAACUAGGGGAAAAAAAUUAAGAAAAGACUGUUCUGCUUACUCAAGCUGCUAAGCAUACCCACUAGAAAGCACUCCUCUGUCUCAUGUCUUUUAGAAGGCGGAUUCUAUGUUUGGCACUCCUAAUGAUGUAAACUCCUCUUCUGGAAAACACAUUCCAUCGGCAGGGCAAAGGGAGCAUCACAAGCAGAGUGCAGGCUGGGGUGAAGAAGAUCUAGAAAUUUGUUCUGAGCUCCUUCCUGUCCAUUUCCUGUGGGAGAAUCCCUACUGCAGAGGAGCAUACCGACCUGUCACGUUCACUCCUCUUCCACCAAACACUUCUGAGGCCAGUUCUUCUUGAAAGCUGUCUCAGUGAGCACACAGCAGAAAAACAAAUGUGCUACUCCUGGCCCAGGUUUGAAAAUGAUGUUUUCUUAUUUUCCAACUUGAAAUAGAGAUCUGUUCCAGACAUAUUUGAAGAUAGGCUGUAUUGUUACUGUCCAGGAGUAAACAAGGCAGUUUCUUCCAGUACGAUAAAAGCUUUCACAGUUUUUAUAAUAAAAACAUGCUAGAUUAAAUCGACCUCUCUAUC